UACGUAGGGUGCAAGCGUUAUUCGGAAUUACUGGGCGUAAAGCGUGCGCAGGCGGCUUUGCAAGACAGAUGUGAAAUCCCCGGGCUUAACCUGGGAACUGCAUUUGUGACUGCAUGGCUGGAGUGCGGCAGAGGGGGAUGGAAUUCCGCGUGUAGCAGUGAAAUGCGUAGAUAUGCGGAGGAACACCGAUGGCGAAGGCGAUCCCCUGGGCCUGCACUGACGCUCAUGCACGAAAGCGUGGGGAGCAAACAGG
rnacentral:rRNA from 1 species